rnacentral:rRNA from 1 species
AUGAAGUGCAGUCUGUUCACUUGCGGAGACCAGAGUGCUGUUCAGAAGCUUCCGUUGAGUAUAUUUUCCAGUGUGUUGAUGCAGUUCAUUGAGGGUGAGCCCUCACGGUCUCCGGCAUGUGUCAUGCAGUGCGGUGCACGCGUUCGUGCAGUCCGGUGGAAGUGCCGAUGUAAGAAGUGCGGUGAGCUCCUUGCCGUUGUCGCGGGCUCCUCAACGACACUGGAGUGGAUGGAUUACGGGUCCAGCUCGCUUGCUGGUAUAGUGCAUGGGCAACGCCUCCGUGCAGUUCAAGCAAUCGCGUGCGUGCAAUGCGGCGAGUGUGUGCGGUUCGGCGACGCAAAGUAUUUGCAUUCUCGCUAUGUUAAUACGUGGGGUUCAGUGCAUUUUAUAAGGGCGACUGCUACAAAUCAUCCGGCAGAUUUCCUAGGGAAAUCAGUCAGGUCAAGCACCGUUAUAGGUGUUGUUGUUUGUGGGUUUUUUGUGUGUCUAUCGAAUGUAUCAAGUUGGUAUAAGAUGUAUUUUGUAUAA